AGUGAACGCUGGCGGCAGGCCUAACACAUGCAAGUCGAACGGCAGCACGGCAGUAGCAAUACUGUGGGUGGCGAGUGGCGGACGGGUGAGGAAUACAUCGGGAUCUACCCUGUUGUGGGGGAUAACGUAGGGAAACUUACGCUAAUACCGCAUAAGAACUGAGGUUGAAAGCGGCGGACCGCAAGGCGUCGCGCGAUUGGAUGAACCGAUGUCCGAUUAGCUAGUUGGCGGGGUAAAGGCCCACCAAGGCGACGAUCGGUAGCUGGUCUGAGAGGACGACCAGCCACACUGGAACUGAGACACGGUCCAGACUCCUACGGAGGCAGCAGUGGGGAAUAUUGGACAAUGGGCGCAAGCCUGAUCCAGCCAUGCCGCGUGGGUGAAGAAAGGCC
rnacentral:rRNA from 1 species